GCUGUUGGAAGAAGCUACAUUGCGUUUGCUAAAAGACCUAAGUGAAGCCAAUUCCUCAAUGAGUGCUCGUUCCUUGUCACUGAUUUCUUUUGGGAUCAGAACAUUCACAAUAAAGUGAUGAUCACCUCGAACAAAAGGUUUAUUGAUGUCUGGAACUCCCAUCUUCGAUAAUUUUACUGUGUCUCCAGGCUGAAUCCCAGAGGGAAUUUGAAGAUCCUUCAUUCCAUCAACAGUUUCAACCUUCAAUGUAGCUCCCAAU
rnacentral:misc_RNA from 1 species